CUGUGCAACUGGGCUCCAGCUUCACGCUCCAGCUGGGCCCAUGUCCGAUAACAUUCAUCCAUCAUCCUUGUGUAGAAGUCCUCGGGGACUUCGGCCCUGGAAUUUCAAUGCCUCCUAGACCAAGCUGGGCACCGGGAAUGCUGCCUCCCCCUGCUGGCUUUUCCUCUCUGCAGCUUGACUUCCUCCAGAGAUCUUCAGGGGCAGCUAAGAACUUGGCAGGAUGCCCAGGGUUUGGCCCUCCUCCCUGGCGGGUGGGGAGGUCAGGGAGUAGAUGCAGGGGCCAACUGGGAGGGCAGUUUUGUGAUUAUGAAAUCAUUCUCGGUGUGUUUUACUUUCUUGUUGAAAAAGGAGAAUAAAUGAUACUGGGGGAAAAAAAAAAACUAGGAAAGGACGGCGAGAGGAAGGACCUUGUCCUCGGGCACACGGGGAGCCAGGCGCUAGCUCAGCACACAUAGGGGCCAUGUGUAGAGAAGCCUUCUGUGCCAGGCAGCAGGCUCAAUGGGUAUUGUUACAGACACUGGGGACAGAGCCAGAGUUGGCAGGUCCUGAUUCUUAUACAAUUUGGGGGUCCAUUUUAAGAUAAAAGAAAAGGGGGGAUUGGAGGCACAGCUCAGCGGUAGACUUUUGUGUUUGGCAUGCUUGAGGUCCUGGGUUCAAUACUCAGCACUAAAAAUAAAAGAGAGAGAAAAAAAGAAAAAAUUAGUCAUGCAAAAUUAGAUGGCAGGACUUUGAAGAGACCGCUCAAUUAGGGAGCCCCAUGGUUGAAGUUUUAUUAGCUUCCUGAUUCUAGAUGGCCUCAAGUUCUCUGUCAGUCUUCUCAUCACAUGCUUGCCUAGUAGAAUACAGUGACGGCCACACUCUAGCCCAUGCCUUUGGACAACAUCCUCUUCUUGCCUUGAAGAAUUCGCUCUCAGACCCUUAACCACCAUGUUAGAAGUCUAGCCACUCUGUGAGAGAGAGAAGACGAGAAAAGUCCCAGGAUGACACCGACAGUCACAUGUUAAGAGAGAAGCUAUUUUGGACCUUGUGUCCAGACCAACUAACCACCACCGAGUGACCCAUGACCCAACAGCCAAGCUGUGUCAGCAUUCCUCAGUUUUAUGAAGUAAAAUAAAAUGCUUUUUAGACCCUAA
rnacentral:sRNA from 1 species